AAGGGCUUAGGAUCGACCAAACCAGGGGCCUUCAAAGCCCCUAACGGGAGUGAGAAUCUCCCAGCCCUUG
rnacentral:tRNA from 1 species